AUCCAGCUGACGAGUCCCAUAUAGGACGAAACACGCGUCGAAAUGCAU
rnacentral:hammerhead_ribozyme from 1 species